GUAGGUGAACCUGCGGAAGGAUCAUUACCGGGUUCAGGGGGGGAAACCCCCCAACUCCCAACCCUUGCUUACCUACCACGUUGCUUCGGGGGGCCGUCCAGGCCCCCCGGAGGUCAAUCAAACUAUUUUUCCACAGACGUCCGAGCGAAUGCGAAAAUAAGUAAAAACUUUCAACAACGGAUCUCUUGGUUCUG
rnacentral:misc_RNA from 1 species